rnacentral:lncRNA from 10 species
CCUCUCCCUGCCUCCUUCAACAGGGUUUCCCCUUCAGGCCUCCGGGGUCCCCUCCCCAUACCUGAGCUCGCUGGCCUCCUCCCGCUACCCCCCAUUCCCUUCUGACUACCUGGCCCUGCAGCUGCCCGAGCCCAGUCCCCUGAGGCCCAAGCGGGAGAAACGGCCCCGCCUGCCCCGGAAACUCAAGGGGAGCGGGAGUCCCUGAAGGGCCAGGGGAGUGAGGAGAUGGAAGGAAGGGAGUCCAAGCAGAGGAAGGAUAGCUGUGAAGACAGAAGCAGGUUGGUUCUGUCAGGCCUGAGUUGGACUUGGCCAGCUUUGAAUCCCAGCUCUUCCAGUGCUCACCAUGCGACCUCAGCGUUGUCAUUUCACUCUUUAAGCCACAGCUCUCUUUCUCCAUUCAGUGGCGGCAUUGUGCGGAGAAUGUGAGUGAAGGGAUGAAAAUCGCUCGGCCCGUGCCUGGCCCCUAGUAAGCCACAGAGAAAUGUGAGCCGCUGCCAGUCAGGCUGAGAGGACGCCACUGAGGAAGUCCAGGCCAGGAGCGCGCGCUCUGGCUGCCGUGCGGAGGAGCUGGAUCUGGGAGAGGCUGCGGGCAGGGAGUCCAGUUAGGAGGCUGGGACCGCAGCCCAGAUGUUCAGCGAUGCAGGUAGCGGGGACGAUGCCUUGGAUGGAGACGAUGACCUGGUGAUCGACAUCCCGGAGUGACCGUGACAUCACGCCAUGCCCACCACGGCCCCGCCCGGCGCCCUCCCCGUGCCAGCACACACGAGUCCAGCUUCCUCGGAGGUGUUUAUUGAUGCCCAGCUGCCAUGCUCCGGCCACUGACACAACCAGAAAAGG